AGCGGCUUAAAGGAUUCACUGCAAUCACCGCCAAAGAUUGAGACCAAUUGAGAGCAAUUGCCUGACAAGUAAAAUCAAGGUACAUUAUCAAAGGCAGGAGCCGCAGGACUGCAUCAAUUGCACAAGGAAGUGCCAACUUUGUCAGUGAUGGAAAUAUGGCGUCAUUUCACUCGGAGAAAUGUUGAAGAACCCUCUUGCAAUUACUGUGGAAGGACUUAUAGGGCUAACAUGUCCAGAAAUGGAACUUCUGCCUUGUGGAAUGCUUAGAAGUUGCAAUAAUGCUUAGAAGU